rnacentral:misc_RNA from 1 species
AGUUUGCCAUUUUGUGACGCCUUGUGUGGAAGUUCGUAAACAGAUUUUGCUUUGCUUGCCUGCGGAGGGACAAGAAUUAUGUCAAAACGGAGAAUCGAAGUUGUGGAUCCGUAUGUUAAACGGAAAGCCAGGGAUGGAUCAACAACAUCUAAUAAUAUAAGCGUACCUACAACAGCGCCAAAAAGUCAGGUUCAGGUGAAUCCUUAUAAUGGAUUACCGUAUACACCACGAUAUCAUGAGUUUUAUCAAAAGAGAAUUACCUUACCUGUAUUUGAAUAUCGUGCCGAUUUUAUGAGGUUAUUGGCACAACACCAAUGUAUUGUGCUUGUCGGAGAAACAGGAUCGGGUAAAACUACGCAGAUACCGCAAUGGUGCGUAGAAUAUUCAAGCUGCAUCGGUACUAAAGGUGUUGCUUGUACUCAACCGAGGAGAGUGGCAGCUAUGUCUGUUGCGCAAAGGGUUUCAGAAGAAAUGGAUGUUGCAUUAGGACAAGAAGUAGGAUAUAGCAUACGUUUUGAGGAUUGCAGUUCUCCAAAAACUGUAUUGAAGUAUAUGACCGAUGGUAUGCUCCUUCGUGAAGGCAUGUCUGAUCCCAUGCUUGAUGCGUAUCAAGUGAUAUUGUUAGACGAGGCUCAUGAAAGAACUUUAGCCACGGAUUUACUUAUGGGUGUGUUAAAAGAAGUGAUUAAACAGAGACCAGAUUUGAAACUUGUGAUUAUGAGUGCAACUUUAGAUGCUGGGAAAUUUCAACAGUAUUUUGACAAUGCACCUCUAAUGAAUGUACCUGGCAGAACGCAUCCUGUUGAAAUCUUUUAUACGCCUGAACCUGAAAGAGAUUAUUUAGAGGCUGCUAUCAGGACUGUUAUUCAAAUACACAUGUGCGAAGAAGUGGCAGGAGAUUUGCUUUUGUUCUUAACUGGUCAGGAAGAAAUUGAAGAAGCUUGUAAAAGAAUCAAAAGAGAAAUGGACAAUUUAGGCCCAGAAGUAGGUGAACUUAAGUGUAUACCACUUUAUUCUACGCUGCCACCGAAUCUUCAGCAAAGAAUUUUUGAGCCUGCACCACCGACGAAACAAAAUGGUGCUAUCGGCAGAAAAGUAGUAGUUUCGACUAACAUCGCUGAGACAUCGUUAACCAUCGAUGGUGUCGUGUUUGUAAUUGAUCCAGGAUUUGCGAAACAAAAGGUAUAUAAUCCCAGAAUUCGCGUAGAAUCUCUUCUUGUAUCACCCAUUAGUAAAGCUUCUGCUCAGCAAAGGGCGGGUAGAGCUGGACGUACUAGACCUGGAAAAUGUUUCAGAUUGUAUACUGAGAAAGCGUAUAAAAAUGAAAUGCAGGACAAUACUUAUCCUGAAAUUUUAAGGUCCAAUCUUGGAAGUGUUGUAUUACAGUUGAAGAAACUUGGUAUCGAUGACUUGGUUCAUUUUGACUUUAUGGAUCCUCCUGCACCAGAAACUCUUAUGAGAGCUUUGGAACUUCUUAAUUAUUUGGCUGCCUUAGACGAUGAUGGAAAUUUAACAGAUUUGGGGGCUGUGAUGGCAGAAUUUCCAUUAGAUCCUCAGUUGGCGAAAAUGCUUAUUGCAUCGUGCAAUCAUAACUGUAGCAACGAGAUCCUUAGCAUUACCGCUAUGCUGUCAGUCCCGCAGUGUUUUGUGAGGCCAAAUGAAUCAAAGAAAGCCGCGGAUGAUGCUAAAAUGCGAUUUGCACAUAUCGAUGGAGAUCACUUGACGUUAUUAAACGUAUAUCAUGCCUUUAAACAAAAUUUUGAAGACCCACAGUGGUGUUACGAUAAUUUCGUCAAUUACCGAUCUCUGAAAAGUGGCGAUAACGUCAGGGAACAACUGAGCAGAAUAAUGGACAGAUUUCAUUUGAAACGUACCUCAACAGAUUUUACAUCAAAGGAUUAUUAUAUUAAUAUUAGAAAAGCGCUUGUGAAUGGAUUCUUCAUGCAGGUCGCUCAUUUAGAAAGAACUGGUCAUUAUUUGACCAUCAAAGAUAAUCAAAUUGUGCAGCUUCAUCCAAGCAGUUGUUUGGACCACAAGCCAGAAUGGGUAAUUUAUAACGAGUUCGUGCUCACAACCAAAAAUUAUAUCAGAACAGUUACUGAUAUUAAACCUGAUUGGUUGCUAAAAAUAGCACCGCAAUAUUAUGACUUACAAAACUUCCCGCAAUGUGAAGCAAAGAGACAAUUGGAAGUUAUUCAAGCGAGGCUAGAUUCGAAACAAUACCAAGAAGGAUUCUAACCGCAACAUCUUUUAGAUAUCUUUAAAAGUGGCGUCAAACGAUCCGUAAUACAUUAAUUAGUUCCAUUCAACGAGUUACGCGUUUCACUUUUUUCCAAGUACACGCAAACUAAAAGGAUUCUGAUUCUAAUUACAACAAUGCGCAGAUAACUUGCCAUCUUAUGCAAUAUUUUCCUUCUCGCUCACAAUCUGUAUAGUUGUGCUGCUUUGACGACUUUACAAGAAGAAAAUUUAUUGCUAAUCGAAAGAUGCUUCCAGAUAAUGAAAGAAGCAAUUAUGAAGAAUUAAAGAUAGUCAUAACUUGUAAUAUGAAGGAUAUUUUAAAAGAACUAUGUGAUAGGUUUGAAGAAAAUCAAAUUAUUCUUAUUUAUGAAUGCUAGCAUAAUAGAAAUUUCAACCUACUGUCACUGUAAAGAAUUACGGCGUUUCAAGUCAUAUUUACAACAGUAUAAACGGAUUAAGCUUAGUUAUCAUACAAUUUGAACACUUGUCGAUAACGAUGUCCUGUUUCGAACACCGUGUGCGCUAAAAAUUUAAUAACAAUGUUAAAUUGUUUAACUUAUAUUUUUAGAACCGGAAACAUUUAAGUAGCUGGAAAUGCUAAUACGCUAUUGAAAUUAAUUUUCUCGAUGAAGAUGUAAUCUCGCUGUUUACACUCUUUUGCUUGUUUUAUCGUAUUAAAUGAUAGUUUGUUUUUGUAAAUAAAAUAUGCAGAUAUAAAAAAAAAGGACAUACAUAUAAAGAUCACAAGAUUUCUGAUCGCGAACAGUUUUCAUUGUAUUGUAUCACUUCAUUCCAAUAAAUUAAUGAAAAUAUAA